rnacentral:sRNA from 1 species
AAAGUGCCAGGAACCCAUAUCGCAUGCAAGCAUGUGUGUUCAAAUUAGCCUUCUCCAGGGAGGAAUUCACAGCGCCGGCAAUACGCGCAGAGAUGUUCUUUUGCACUUUUGCAUUUUAAAACAUGCAUCGCUUAUGAGCGCAGCAUUUUCAAGCCUUUUCUUGAGAUCAGCUCGUUCAGUUACAUGUGCUUUUGAAGAUGACCAUUUGUGAAACCGUCAACCACUGGCAAAGUGAAGAAAAAUGAAGAUUUCGGCCUGGUUGAUGUGUGCUCGGGGAAGGGAUUUGCGCAAGCAGGUAGCGCCGCUGCUGAAGAGUUUCCAAGGAGAGAUUGAUGCACUGAGUAAAAGAAGCAAGGAAGCUGAAGCAGCUUUCUUGAAUGUCUACAAAAGAUUGAUUGACGUCCCAGAUCCCGUACCAGCUUUGGAUCUCGGACAGCAACUCCAGCUCAAAGUGCAGCGCCUGCACGAUAUUGAAACAGAGAACCAGAAACUUAGGGAAACUCUGGAAGAAUACAACAAGGAAUUUGCUGAAGUGAAAAAUCAAGAGGUUACGAUAAAAGCACUUAAAGAGAAAAUCCGAGAAUAUGAACAGACACUGAAGAACCAAGCCGAAACCAUAGCUCUUGAGAAGGAACAGAAGUUACAGAAUGACUUUGCAGAAAAGGAGAGAAAGCUGCAGGAGACACAGAUGUCCACCACCUCAAAGCUGGAGGAAGCUGAGCAUAAGGUUCAGAGCCUACAAACAGCCCUGGAAAAAACUCGAACAGAAUUAUUUGACCUGAAAACCAAAUACGAUGAAGAAACUACUGCAAAGGCCGACGAGAUUGAAAUGAUCAUGACGGACCUUGAAAGGGCAAACCAGAGGGCAGAGGUGGCUCAGAGAGAGGCGGAGACCUUAAGGGAACAGCUCUCAUCGGCCAAUCACUCCCUCCAGCUGGCCUCACAGAUCCAGAAGGCACCAGACGUGGAGCAGGCCAUAGAGGUGCUGACCCGCUCCAGCCUAGAAGUUGAGUUGGCCGCCAAGGAGCGGGAGAUCGCACAGCUGGUGGAGGACGUGCAGAGACUCCAGGCCAGCCUCACCAAGCUGCGGGAGAAUUCGGCCAGCCAGAUCUCGCAGCUUGAGCAGCAGCUGAGCGCCAAAAACAGCACGCUCAAACAACUGGAAGAAAAACUCAAAGGCCAGGCUGACUAUGAAGAGGUGAAGAAAGAGCUGAACAUUCUGAAGUCCAUGGAGUUUGCACCGUCCGAGGGCGCUGGGACACAGGAUGCGGCCAAGCCCCUGGAGGUGCUGUUGCUGGAGAAGAACCGCUCGCUGCAGUCCGAGAACGCCGCGCUGCGCAUCUCCAACAGCGACCUGAGCGGACGCUGUGCGGAGCUGCAGGUCCGUGUCACUGAGGCUGUGGCCACAGCCACUGAGCAGAGAGAGCUGAUCGCCCGCCUGGAGCAGGACCUGAGCAUCAUUCAGUCCAUCCAGCGGCCCGAUGCUGAGGGUGCCGCCGAGCACCGCCUGGAGAAGAUCCCGGAGCCCAUCAAAGAGGCCACUGCCCUAUUCUACGGACCUACAGCACCAGCCAGCGGUGCCCUGCCAGAGGGCCAAGUGGAUUCACUGCUUUCCAUCAUCUCCAGCCAGAGGGAGCGCUUCCGUGCCCGGAACCAAGAGCUCGAGGCCGAGAACCGCCUGGCCCAGCACACCCUCCAGGCCCUGCAGAGUGAGCUGGACAGCCUGCGCGCCGACAACAUCAAGCUAUUUGAGAAGAUCAAGUUCCUGCAGAGCUACCCUGGCCGGGGCAGCGGCAGUGAUGACACGGAGCUGCGGUACUCGUCCCAGUACGAGGAGCGCCUGGACCCCUUCUCCUCCUUCAGCAAGCGGGAGCGGCAGAGGAAGUACCUGAGCCUGAGUCCCUGGGACAAGGCCACCCUCAGCAUGGGGCGUCUGGUUCUCUCCAACAAGAUGGCGCGCACCAUCGGCUUCUUCUACACACUGUUCCUGCACUGCCUGGUCUUCCUGGUGCUCUACAAGCUGGCAUGGAGCGAGAGCAUGGAGAGGGACUGUGCCACCUUCUGUGCCAAGAAGUUCGCCGACCACCUGCACAAGUUCCACGAGAAUGACAACGGGGCGGCGGCUGGUGACUUGUGGCAGUGAUACCCCGGGGCCUCCCCCGUGACAGUGUUGGCUGUACCUCCACCCCGACUGCUCAGUGCAUCUAAUCACUUAGACUCCCCUGAAGAAUCCCCCAUGGAAACUGCCCUUAUCUGCUGUCCAGCAGCUGCCAGAGGCCCCAGGUCCCCUUGGGUCCCCUUGAAAGAAUGUCUCGGUCACAUCAGGCCCGCUAGGACCAGAGAGCCAGCCCCCAAUGCCCGGCCAGGCUAAGCCGCAGAGACCCUCUCAGCCCCCACCUCAGGCUAGGGCUCUGCCCGCAGCCUGACCUCUAGCCCUGGUGGCAGAGGUCCCUCAGCUGCGAGGCUGAUUGGGUGACCACCCAUUCCAGCUGCGGUUAAUCCAGCUUGGGCCUGUCUGCACUGCGAUCCUCUUGGGCUCUCCUAGGAUCCCCCCAUGCCCCGUAAGAGGUGGAAGGCGCUUCCUUCCAGGACAGCAGGCUUUGAGUCCAGCACCCCCAGCCUGCCUUUGCCACCGGCCCCACCCUGCAGAGUAUAUGAGGCUUGACAGAGUCUGCCUCCUCCCCCACUGCACCCCAAGAGAGAGAGCCCCAGCCAGCAGAACAGUUUCUAUUACUCGCUCCCUGCCCCCAGACCCACGUGAUUUCUGCUGUCUUCUUUAGCAAGAUAUUCUGGUUUCUAGAUAAGGAAGAGUCUCUAAUGAGCCCCGGAGCCCCAGUCUCUUCAGACUCAUGGAUUGGUCUGAGGGGUCUGAACGUCUCCUAGCCAAUCAGAACUGGCUGUGGACCACCCUAGCACGGCCACCUCUCAGGGCCACUGGCAGGCCUUCCUGAGUUAGAUUUGUAGU